UACGGGUAGGCAGCAGUGGAGGAAUAUUGCACAAUGGGGGCAACCCUGAUGCAGCAACGCCGCGUGGAGGAUGACGCCACUUCGGUGUGUAAAGUCCUUUUAUCAGAGAAGAACAUGACGGUAUCUGAUGAAUAACGCUCCCGGCUAACUUCCGUGCACGCGCCGC
rnacentral:rRNA from 1 species